rnacentral:rRNA from 1 species
UGAGGGAUAUUGGGCAAUGGGGGAAACCCUGACCCAGCGACGCCGCGUGAGGGAAGACGGUCUUCGGAUUGUAAACCUCUGUCUUGGGGACGAAAAAGGGACGGUACCCAAGGAGGAAGCUCCGGCUAACUACGUGCCAGCAGCCGCGGUAAUACGUAGGGAGCGAGCGUUGUCCGGAAUUACUGGGUGUAAAGGGAGCGUAGGCGGGAUUGCAAGUUGGAUGUGAAAACUGCGGGCUCAACCCGGAGAGUGCAUUCAAAACUGCGAUUCUUGAGUGAAGUAGAGGCAAGCGGAAUUCCUAGUGUAGCGGUGAAAUGCGUAGAUAUUAGGAGGAACACCAGUGGCGAAGGCGGCUUGCUGGGCUUUUGACUGACGCUGAGGCUCGAAAGUGUGGGGAGCAAACAGGAUUAGAUACCC